GCCACAGCAAGGGUCGCUUGAAGUGAACCCGGGCUGAGGCAUCACAGCCAGCAGGGAGGGAGAACAGGGACUGAGGAAAAGUAAUAUCAACAUCAACAUAUGAAAGAAGCCAGUUGGCUCGUGAAUGGGAGAGAAAGACGGAAAACGCUUCCUCACCAGAGCUACAUGUAACACGCUUGAGAAAACCUCACGCCAUGGAAACGAGAGAGUGCUGUAGAAAUGACCUAAAAGAAAGCAGCUUUAUUCUCGAGACAGAAAAACCAGCAUGCUGGGGUCCACCCAAAGUGGUGUUGACCAUGGGGAAAGCUUCCUGAGCCUUGGUGCUUUUGAUGAAAACAUCUUAUUUAGGACUGGUUGUUCCAAAGUCUGCCACUCUCUGCACAUUGCCCCGUUGUGAACAGAACACCAACAGCACAGGCACUAAGAACAACAAUUACAGCCCCAGAUGGAGGCAAGGUGCCCAGCAGAGGAGAGCCUCAGAACACAGUGCCAUCUGCUUCAGGAUACAAGCCAUUGGACGCUUGGUCUGUCCAGGACAGGGGCCUCAGAGGCAAGAAGCCCUUACUAAGUGGUGUGAUGAGGAAUAAAGCAUCUAUUAAUAAGGUGCUUUUAGACUUGAUUCUAGCCCCAUUAAACUUUUAUUUUUCUAACCUUAUUUUAUACCCCAUUUCCAAAGCACUUGCUAUGGGGAACCCAUCAGAAAUGACUACUCAGAUACAGUUUAUAGCCAAUUGAAGGUCUUUCUUUAUUCCUGAGUGAGGUAUUCCAGACCCAGAAAGAUAAAUAUGGCAUGUAUUUAUUUACAUGAGGAUAUUAGUUGUUAAAUCAAUGAUAACAAA